rnacentral:rRNA from 1 species
GAUCAUGGCUCAGGACGAACGCUGGCGGCGUGCUUAACACAUGCAAGUCGAACGAAGAGCGAUGGAAGCUUGCUUCUAUCAAUCUUAGUGGCGAACGGGUGAGUAACGCGUAAUCAACCUGCCCUUCAGAGGGGGACAACAGUUGGAAACGACUGCUAAUACCGCAUACGAUCUAAUCUCGGCAUCGAGGAAAGAUGAAAGGUGGCCUCUAUGUAUAAGCUAUCACUGAAGGG